rnacentral:rRNA from 1 species
GCAUAUCAAUAAGCGGAGGAAAAGAAACCAACAGGGAUUGCCCUAGUAACGGCGAGUGAAGCGGCAACAGCUCAAAUUUGAAAUCUGGCCCUCGGGUCCGAGUUGUAAUUUGUAGAGGAUGCUUUUGGUGCGGUGCCUUCCGAGUUCCCUGGAACGGGACGCCAUAGAGGGUGAGAGCCCCGUCUGGUUGGACGCCAAUCCUAUGUAAAGCUCCUUCGACGAGUCGAGUAGUUUGGGAAUGCUGCUCUAAAUGGGAGGUAUAUGUCUUCUAAAGCUAAAUAUUGGCCAGAGACCGAUAGCGCACAAGUAGAGUGAUCGAAAGAUGAAAAGCACUUUGAAAAGAGAGUUAAAAAGCACGUGAAAUUGUUGAAAGGGAAGCGCUUAUGACCAGACUUGGGCUUGGUUGAUCAUCCGGCGUUCUCGCCGGUGCACUCUUCCGGUCCAGGCCAGCAUCAGUUUGCUCCGGGGGAUAAAGGCUUUGGGAAUGUGGCUCCCUCGGGAGUGUUAUAGCCCAUUGUGUAAUACCCUGGAGCGGACUGAGGUACGCGUUCUGCAAGGAUGCUGGCGUAAUGGUCAUCAGUGACCCGUCUUGAAACACGGACCAAGGAGUCGUCUUCGUAUGCGAGUGUUCGGGUGUCAAACCCCUACGCGUAAUGAAAGUGAACGCAGGUGAGAGCUUCGGCGCAUCAUCGACCGAUCCUGAUGUUCUCGGAUGGAUUUGAGUAAGAGCAUACGGGGCCGGACCCGAAAGAAGGUGAACUAUGCCUGUGUAGGGUGAAGCCAGAGGAAACUCUGGUGGAGGCUCGCAGCGGUUCUGACGUGCAAAUCGAUCGUCAAACAUGGGCAUGGGGGGCGAAAGACUAAUCGAACCUUCUAGUAGCUGGUUUCCGCCGA